rnacentral:rRNA from 1 species
GACGUAGGGCGCGAGCGUUGUCCGGGUUUAUUGGGCGUAAAGAGCUCGUAGGCGGCUUGUCGCGUCGACCGUGAAAACUUGGGGCUCAACCCCAAGCCUGCGGUCGAUACGGGCAGGCUCGAGUUCGGUAGGGGAGACUGGAAUUCCUGGUGUAGCGGUGAAAUGCGCAGAUAUCAGGAGGAACACCGGUGGCGAAGGCGGCAUCCUGGACCAACACUGACGCUGAGUGAGCGAAAGCCAGGGGAGCAAACGGG